AGUUUGAUCCUGGCUCAGGAUGAACGCUAGCUACAGGCUUAACACAUGCAAGUCGAGGGGCAGCAUGAACUUAGCUUGCUAAGUUUGAUGGCGACCGGCGCACGGGUGAGUAACACGUAUCCAACCUUCCGUUUACUCAGGGAUAGCCUUUCGAAAGAAAGAUUAAUACCUGAUAGUAUGGUGAGAUUGCAUGAUAACACCAUUAAAGAUUUAUUGGUAAACGAUGGGGAUGCGUUCCAUUAGGUAGUAGGCGGGGUAACGGCCCACCUAGCCAACGAUGGAUAGGGGUUCUGAGAGGAAGGUCCCCCACAUUGGAACUGAGACACGGUCCAAACUCCUACGGGAGGCAGCAGUGAGGAAUAUUGGUCAAUGGACGAGAGUCUGAACCAGCCAAGUAGCGUGAAGGAUGAAGGUCCUACGGAUUGUAAACUUCUUUUAUAAGGGAAUAAACCCUCCCACGUGUGGGAGCUUGUAUGUACCUUAUGAAUAAGCAUCGGCUAACUCCGUGCCAGCAGCCGCGGUAAUACGGAGGAUGCGAGCGUUAUCCGGAUUUAUUGGGUUUAAAGGGAGCGCAGACGGGUCGUUAAGUCAGCUGUGAAAGUUUGGGGCUCAACCUUAAAAUUGCAGUUGAUACUGGCGUCCUUGAGUGCGGUUGAGGUGUGCGGAAUUCGUGGUGUAGCGGUGAAAUGCUUAGAUAUCACGAAGAACUCCGAUUGCGAAGGCAGCACACUAAUCCGUAACUGACGUUCAUGCUCGAAAGUGUGGGUAUCAAACAGGAUUAGAUACCCUGGUAGUCCACACGGUAAACGAUGGAUACUCGCUGUUGGCGAUAUACUGUCAGCGGCUUAGCGAAAGCGUUAAGUAUCCCACCUGGGGAGUACGCCGGCAACGGUGAAACUCAAAGGAAUUGACG
rnacentral:rRNA from 1 species